AAAUUACUCCCUCCGUCCCAAAAUUCUUGUCUUAGAUUUGUCUAGAUAUGGAUGUAUCAAGUCACAUUUUAGUAUUAGAUACAUCUGUAUCUAGACAAAUCUAAGACAAGAAAUUUGGGACAGAGGGAGUAGUUG
rnacentral:pre_miRNA from 1 species